UACGUAGGGGGCUAGCGUUGUCCGGAAUCAUUGGGCGUAAAGAGCGUGUAGGCGGCCCGGCAAGUCCGCUGUGAAAGUCGGGGGCUCAACCCUCGAAUGCCGGUGGAUACUGUCGGGCUAGAGUGCGGAAGAGGCGAGUGGAAUUCCUGGUGUAGCGGUGAAAUGCGCAGAUAUCAGGAGGAACACCAAUUGCGAAGGCAGCUCGCUGGGACGUAACUGACGCUGAGACGCGAAAGCGUGGGGAGCAAACAGG
rnacentral:rRNA from 1 species